rnacentral:misc_RNA from 1 species
GGACAGAUUAGUUCCUUAGGCUUCUGGGGCGGCUGGGCGGGAUCAGUAGUAGACUGUGAGAUCAUAGAAUUUGUUAUGGAGAACCUAAAGCCACCGCGCAUGAGGAGGGCUAGGAGGCGGGCAGUGUUGCGAGCAUCGUCAAGGCCACAGUGGGCACGGCCUUCCCAUGCAAGGCCAGAUAGCUGGACUGCCUCCUUCAGAUUGCAGCGCACGCCACCG